ACACACACACACACACACACACACACACACACACACACACACACUGCUCUGGCUCUACUGCAGCUUCACGGUCAUUGUUGGUUCGACCACCUCUAAUUCAAUCAUGUCCCUCGAGCCAUGGGGAUGCAUCGCCAGAGGUCCCAUCCACUAUAAACACAUUUAGGGAUUAUUUAUUUUUAGCUUUAGCUCAGUACUCUCCUGUGUUCGGACCCUAGCUAACUGCAGCUACCCCAGAUGGUUCUGCUAAGGUGGCUGUUUCUGGAUUCCUGCAGAUUGUGGGUUGUAAGUGAAGAAAGGGUUUCUCUCUUUUGGCCUGUCCUUCAUUAUGAGAGAGGUAUUUAUCACAAUCAGACUGACUAACGGAGCUUAACCCUCUGGUCCUCCACACACAGCACUAUGCUACUGUUCUAUGAUGCUGAAGAAAAAAAAAGGUUUUACGUUGUUUACAUGGAACAAGCAAGUGUAGUCAGAGUAUCAGUUACCUUACGCAGCUUCCUCCAUAGCUCAGAGUGGACUUUGGUGGGUUUUACCAGGGGCAAAUCUGAAAUGUCAUCCUAUUUCCUAAGUAGCAUUAUGUUUGGCCGGAGACGGUGUCAUUUUGGACACAACGCAGCAUUGAUGUUUUACUGGCAGAUGGAUGUGUUACUGGCAGACGGAUGUGUUACUGGCAGAAUCUGCUUAGACAAAAACACACUGUAGCCCUUCUCUCAGAUGUAGUCAUCUGUGAAUGAAUCACAUUCACUGAUUCACUGGACCUCAGUGCCUCAGUGUAUUUGGCCUCAUUUGAAUAAGAGGUCAGAGAGAGGACAGAACACCCCAUGUCCCCCCUCUCCCUUCACUCCCUAUUCUCCACACAAACCCAACUACAACUCCUAUUUCCCAGCCUGCACCUCUCUUCCUGUCUGAGUGCUGACCCAGGGGUCGGUAGCUGUCAGUCACGUCCCUCAGCUGGCCUCCGAGGCUCUCCUCUCAUGAGCCGCUGGCCACAGACUGGGCUCUGUGAGGGGACCUCUGAAGGAAAGGCCCAGGCCGGUCAUAUGGGAUCAUCUCUGUGCAUUCAUGGUGUGUAAUUUAAUUACCCCUUCCCUCCUCUUUCUCAUGUUUCCUUCUCCUAUCCUAAUGCAAACCCCAGGUUGGACCGACCGUCACCCUGGUCUAUAGUGAGAGGAAGGGCUUCAGGGGCUGACAGCCAGACAAAGACAGACACAUGUCGACAAUGUGUAUACUCAGGCCCUGACAGAGUUUGGGUUAAUAGUGGGAGUCUCGUAUGAGGAUCGACUGACGAGCAGCUUGUCAACUCUCCAUCUACAUGCUGUUGGAGGAUCAGGAGGAUCACCCACCAUGUCCAUGGAAGGAAGAGGACUAAGACCACAACCAUGGAGGGCAGCAAGGAAGUGGAGAGGGCCAGGACAAGGCAGGGGGAGGAGAGUGCAGGGGAGCCCUUAUCCAGUAUCGGGCAGAGAAGGGGGAAGGGGCAGGAGAAGGGAGCCCUGGGACUCCCAACAGGCUGAACCGAUUUCCUGUGUGGUGUCAUGCCAAGGGUAGGUUCAGAUCAGAGAACCGACCAGGGCUUUAGGCUUUAGAACCCAGUGACAUGUGGUGAGGUCUGAGGCCGUUUUGGCACUUUCUAUUGAGCUUCAUAAAGGCUCAUAAAGCAGAUUUCUGCUACGGUGUUUAUUGCUAUGACACGACCACAAAGAUAACCAUCAAACAACCACAACUAACCACCAUACAGCAGCAGGUAGGUGGUGUAACCAUUACACAAACAUUCACAUAGCUUGUGCACUACACAACUGCCCUGCACAAACAGGUGACUUUCAGCACCACAGACAGCAACCCAAAUGCCAGUGAGCAGGUCUACUUGUAGACAACGACCCAAAUGCCAGUGAGCAGGUCUACUUGUAGACAACGACCCAAAUGUCAGUGAGUAGGACUACUUGUAGACAACGACCCAAAUGUCAGUGAGUAGGACUACUUGUAGACAGCGAACCAAAUGUCAGUGAGUAGGAUGACUUGUAGACAGCGAACCAAAUGUCAGUGAGUAGGAUGACUUGUAGACAGCAACCCAAAUGUCAGUGAGUAGGACUACUUGUAGACAAUGACCCAAAUGCCAGUGAGUUGGCCUACUUGUAGACAAUGACCCAAAUGCCAGUGAGUUGGCCUACUUGUAGACAGCAACCCAAAUGCCAGUGAGUUGGCCUACUUGUAGACAGCAACCCAAAUGUCAGUGAGUUGGCCUACUUGUAGACAGCAACCCAAAUGCCAGUGAGUUGGCCUACUUGUAGACAGAAACCCAAAUGCCAGUGAGUUGGCCUACUUGUAGACAGCAACCCAAAUGCCAGUGAGUAGGACUACUUGUAGACAGCGCCUAGUAGUCACCCCUACUGAUUGAGCUAUGCACUUAGUGGCCAGUUUAUUAGGUACACGCAUCUAGUACCGGGUCAGACCCUCCUUUGCCUCCAGAACAGCCUGAAUUCUUCAGGGCAUGGAAACGUUGCUCCAUUGGUAUCAAGGGACCUAAGGU
rnacentral:lncRNA from 1 species